rnacentral:rRNA from 1 species
UUUGAUCCUCGGCUCAGGAUGAACGCUGGCGGCGUGCUUAACACAUGCAAGUCGAGCGAAGCAUUUAAGAUGAUCUCUUCGGAUUGAGUCUUAUAUGACUGAGCGGCGGACGGGUGAGUAACGCGUGGGUAACCUGCCUCAUACAGGGGGAUAACAGUUAGAAAUGACUGCUAAUACCGCAUAAGCGCACAGGGCUGCAUGGCCCGGUGUGAAAAACUCCGGUGGUAUGAGAUGGACCCGCGUCUGAUUAGCUGGUUGGAGGGGUAACGGCCCACCAAGGCGACGAUCAGUAGCCGGCCUGAGAGGGUGAACGGCCACAUUGGGACUGAGACACGGCCCAGACUCCUACGGGAGGCAGCAGUGGGGAAUAUUGCACAAUGGGGGAAACCCUGAUGCAGCGACGCCGCGUGAAGGAAGAAGUAUCUCGGUAUGUAAACUUCUAUCAGCAGGGAAGAAAAUGACGGUACCUGACUAAGAAGCCCCGGCUAACUACGUGCCAGCAGCCGCGGUA